AAAAAACUGUCACACAGCAAAGCUCCAAGACGGCAGAAUCCACAGUCCUAGGCAAAGGGCAGGUGUGCGUUUGAGGGGAAGUGACGGAGGGAAAAGACAGACAACUAUUCACCUGGCCCCCGGGGCCUGCAAAGAAGAAGGGGUCAAAAGACAGAAACAGGUGGACCCACUGCUAUCUCCUGGACUCAGAGGCAAAUCUGGUUUGCCAUCCAUUACACAAACCAGCUCUUUUAUAACCCAACAGACAGGGAUAAUAGCUAUCCCUGGAGCUGAAUUAUAAGUGAAUACUAUAAAUCAAGAUGAAGUUCAUGCCAAGCCUGUAUUUUUUUUAUCAGAAAAAAAUUAGCAAUGUUGGGUUCAAAGGAGCUGGGAGAAAACAAGACUGGAUGGGAAGAGACUUCCGUGGCCAAAUGCCUGUUCCACUAUGCAUAUGCUGAUGGUAUACUAGAUGCUAGAGUUUGUGGAACAGUCUUCGUUCAAGCUACAGUAUCCCAGGAGGCUCGCUUUGCCUCCAGGCUAAACUAAACGUCUGGCAGUUCCUGCAACAGGUCCACGUGACUGGAUAAUGCAUCAGAGAAUCGGCUUCCUGUGUCUGAGCAUUUCCUUUUCCUCUCCUGGUACUAAAUCCCAAAUACCUCUAUCAAUCCUUUGUUCAAUGGAUUUGAAGUACUUGGGAACUAUAUUCAGGGAAUUGACAGCAUGCUGCUUUAUGAUGGAUGUUGGCUCCAACUUCAUAUACAAGACCCAUAUCAUUGGGAGACCUUCAUAAGCCAUGGCAACCGUUCUCUUGCUUAACCUAACUCACCCAAGGCUCAGGUAGGCCUCUUCUCCCUUCCUCCCCAUCCACCUGAACAUGUCCUCCCCAUCAAAGGAGGAGGAAGGAGGACAAAGAAGACAUGGAAACAGUGUGAAUCCAGCCAGGAAUGUGUGUCUUGGCCCAGGGUGGGUAGAAACUUCCAGAAGUGGUAAUGCUACACACACAUUUUACUUCUGGCUUGAGGUCUCCUCAGAGACCCUUUUCACUGGGUGUGAGCCCAAAGUAGGAGGUGAGUUAAGUCCUUCCAAAGAGUUACAUCCCAUGUUGUGUUCAGUUGGCAAACUUACCCCUUCCUUGUGCUUUCAACUGAAAACAGUCAAACUUACUUGUAGGCUAACUCUAAAUGGACUUUGGCCCCAGGUCAAUUCUGGCCCUACAAGCAAGCACCCACUUUUCAGGAUGCACAAAGAUGCAUCUUGGGCACAGCUCUGGCUUUGUGCUGAACACACCUUCUCCAGGGAGAGUCCUUGAGAAGUCCCUCAUUUGACCACAAAGUUUGACUGCCAGGAGCUUGAUUCAAACAAUCCUCGCUUUGGUUGGGCUCCUCUUGGUGAGGACUGAGUUAUAAAUGUCCAGUAGAGAGUUGGACCCUCACCGGCUCCCCAUGUUGGGCCUUUAUCUCUGCCACAUGGUGGCACUGUUUAGCACUGGUCAGGCCCUGGUCCACAGACUCUACCUGGUCUCCUUUCAUUAAAAAGAUAGGUUGGCACUCCCUGAGGGACAAAACCAGGGAGUACUCCACAACCACUGCCAGAGCAUAUCCAAGAUGCACCCCUGUGUGGCUGGGCCAGGAGCUGCUUUCUCCCUGCACCACACCCUGUACAGAGUAUCACCCAUUCUCACACCCCAGUUCACUCUGGAGUUCCUUUCACAGAGCACAUCUUCACAUGUUGCUCUGUGUCUUAAUUUGAUCCACCCACGCCAAAAAGCCAAGGUGUAUCACUGGCACCUAGAAGUGAGGUCUUUUCCCGUUAAAUCCCUAACCCUGGGUCAGUAGGCUCACCUAGCAUUCAUGUAACUGGUUUGGCCUUCAGGUGACUUGAAGGCAGGUCAGACAGGUUCUGGAAUAUUCUCCACACGUCUUAAAUGAGUACUUCCAUCCUGCUGCUGCGUAACUAAGAGGAGAGGCUUGUUUAAGAGAAGAGAUUAGCUUCUCACAAUAUUCCAAAUGUGGAGCCAACUGUAUUUAUUCCUUCUGUAUGUGUUUGGGGCCAUGAUACCUGCUUGGAGAAUCUGGUCACCAUAUGGUGACCAUAUGGUGAUCUUCAGGUUAGCCCUGAUAUUUCACUAAGGGCUUAUCAAACCAAAUCUAACCAAACUUGUGUGAGUUUUUAUACCACACCUCAUGGAGCACUCUAUUUUUAGAGUUGGAAAGGAUACUUUCCACUGGACCUACUAUUCUAGAAAAAGAAAUAUUCGUCAACCUCUAACUCAUAAGUAGCACUUGUUAAGUGAUACAUAGGAUUCAUCUAGAAAACACUAACCUUAUUCCCGCCCUUGGGGCUGGGAUCAUGCAAAUUAUCUCAAUUGCCCCUGUUCAUCACUUCCUUAAAUGUUUGUAGGAUGCAGCUGGGAUGGUUAGAAGCCUAAAUACACCAAGCCAUACUGGCAUGUGUUCCCUUGUGGCAGACCCCAACCACAACCUCCAGACUUCUUUUCUAGAUGUUCUUCUCACCAUACCUCUUAUGCCUGGCUUCUAGAAACACUGUUGAGUAACAGUCUUCAGCCAAAAGAAAAAAAAAAUAAUCUGUUAAAGGUCACUUAUAAAAUUAUAAAUUUCUCAUGGCCAUAAAAACUAAUCUUUGUUGAUGAACUAAAGCUUAUUAUAUUAGACCUGGAUAGAAAGUAAUUUGGGGAGAGAAUAAAGGAGAGGUGCCGUCC
ensembl:lincRNA Gm10619 predicted gene 10619